AGCCAGUAGUGUUUUAUAUUCUUUAGUCUCUUUAUGUAUAGAACCACCAGCCCCGCCCAUUUUUACUUAUCUUAACCAUACUAUAAUAAUAUAAGCAAAUCAUCGCCAAUACUGCCGUCCCAUCAAUCGUCGUUUGCCAACCGUCUACAUUGUAAUCAGAAAUUACGGGGUAUUUUUUUUCAUGUAGCAUUUACAACCGAAUAAAUUGCCUUAAAAACCACAAUACCGUGUGUUGGACUAUCAUUUAAGUGAGUUCACACUCGCGUUUUGGCAAUUCAAGAUUUAUUCUAGUCGUUGCCCUUAAGAGGACACCAAACCUGCAUCUAUUAAACUACCGAUUUAAAAAACGCAAAACAUA